rnacentral:rRNA from 1 species
UACGUAGGGGGCAAGCGUUGUCCGGAAUCAUUGGGCGUAAAGCGCGUGUAGGCGGCUCGGUAAGUCUGCUCUGAAAGCCCGGGGCUCAACCCUGGGAGGCGGGUGGAUACUGCUGAGCUCGAGUCCGGAAGAGGCGAGUGGAAUUCCUGGUGUAGCGGUGAAAUGCGCAGAUAUCAGGAGGAACACCAAUGGCGAAGGCAGCUCGCUGGGACGGUACUGACGCUGAGACGCGAAAGCUAGGGGAGCAAACAGG